UGGGGAAUAUUGGACAAUGGGCGAAAGCCUGAUCCAGCCAUGCCGCGUGUGUGAAGAAGGUCUUCGGAUUGUAAAGCACUCUAAGUUGGGAGGAAGGGCAGUAAGCGAAUACCUUGCUGUUUUGACGUUACCGACAGAAUAAGCACCGGCUAACUCUGUGCCAGCAGCCGCGGUAAUACAGAGGGUGCAAGCGUUAAUCGGAAUUACUGGGCGUAAAGCGCGCGUAGGUGGUUCGUUAAGUUGAAUGUGAAAGCCCCGGGCUCAACCUGGGAACUGCAUCCAAAACUGGCGAGCUAGAGUAGGGCAGAGGGUGGUGGAAUGUCCUGUGUAGCGGUGAAAUGCGUGGAUAUAGGAAGGAACACCAGUAGCGAAGGCGACCACCUGGGCUCAUACUGACACUGAGGUGCGAAAACGUGGGGAGCAAACAGG
rnacentral:rRNA from 1 species